rnacentral:rRNA from 1 species
UUGCCAUUAUCAUAAGCGGAGGAAAAGAAACCAACAGGGAUUGCCUCAGUAACGGCGAGUGAAGCGGCAAAAGCUCAAAUUUGAAAUCUGGCUGCUUUUUUAGUAGUCCGAGUUGUAAUUUGAAGAAUAGAUCCUUGGAGAGGCGCCUUGUCUAUGUUCCUUGGAACAGGACGUCGCAGAGGGUGAGAAUCCCGUUUGGCGAGGUGUGCUGAUCCGUGUAAGGGCUGUUCGACGAGUCGAGUUGUUUGGGAAUGCAGCUCUAAGUGGGUGGUAAAUUCCAUCUAAAGCUAAAUAUUGGCGAGAGACCGAUAGCGAACAAGUACAGUGAUGGAAAGAUGAAAAGAACUUUGAAAAGAGAGUGAAAAAGUACGUGAAAUUGUUGAAAGGGAAGGUUAUUAGAUCAGACUUGGAUUUUUUAUUAUAUUUGUCUCCUUGUGGGGCAUUCACUAAUUUUUAAUCCAGGCCAGCAUCGAUUGGGAUGGCGGGAAAAAGAGGGAGGAACGUGGCUGUGCAUUUAUGUGCAGUGUUUAUAGCCUUUCUUAAUACCGCCUGUCUCGAUCGAGGACUGCGGCAAAUUUAUUUUUGCCUAGGAUGCUGGCGUAAUGAUCUAAUAUCGCCCGUCUUGAACACCGGGCCCA